UGUCCAGAGAAGAUCAGGAAUGUGCCUCAGUUCAUGGCAGAGCCAGCUGGCCUCAUUCCAGAGCCUAAGUACUCAAUUAAUUCUAUGCCCUGCUGCCUGUUUACAAUGGGACAACGAAUCUGGGUGCUUUCUGUGUUCUACAUGGAUAAAGUGAGACAACAGCUGUUGCUACCUCUCUGAAGAACUCAGAGUUUGACUGCACCUAUGUGUAGCAGAGAUGCUCCUGCUGAUUUGGGAAUGGGCUUGGUCUGAUGGUGACUGAGCCUACCAGAAUUCUGAAACAGACUGGAGUUAUUUGUUGUGGGAGGAAGACCCCAGAGGAAGUGCCAUUCUCAUCACAUUAUAUCAAAGGUGAGGAAAAUGAGCAUUGAGAGAAUCGAUAAGUGGCCCCUCAGGCUCAAUUGGACAAUUUGCUUCCCUAAGUGGGAAGGAAAGUGGAGGAGUUUCAGCUGUGUGCAGCAAUGACACCUAACCCACUGAAUGGGUUGUUCUGUGCAUCCUUCUCAGAGAAAUGAUGGAGAAUUAUGAAGCAAGGCCCAGGGCUUCCCUCCACCCCAACCAGAAAACUCUGAGAGCCAUUGUAAGGCAAGAACAAGCAGGCCACCAUGAAGAUCCACUGUGCAACGGACAUUGAGUGGACAACCUCUCUUAGACAUCAAAGGAGAGCUUGGAACGGCCGAGGCUGACCACUUUCAGCAGUCCCUUUAUGCCAACUCCCACCUUGACUGAGUUCUGGACCUGUGGCCCUUGGCUGAGCUUCCCUUUCUU